rnacentral:lncRNA from 1 species
AUGAUGUGCAGCAGCUGCCCUGCUGGGUCACGUGCUCGUGCAGUACUGUGCUUGUCACCUGGGCAGCCAUGCUCAGCAUCUGCGUGGCCCUUGCACAGAGAGGCUGUUAGCAUGUCAUCUUCCAUACCUGUGAUUCAGGAGGACAUGACAUACAAUAAGCUUCUUCUGGCCUUCUCUCAGGAACUUUAUGCUAUUGCCUUGAACUUCAACAGCAUAGAAUCUCUAAUGGCUGCAGAUGUUUCUCCCAGAGCAUGGUAUGGAGGCUUGGAGCAAGACGUCUUUCCCACAGAUGGCAAAGUGUCAAACGAGUUCAGGAGAUGAAAAAACAAACAAAAACACCUACCUGAGAACUUUCAGUGUUCCUCAUCCAACAUUUGACCUGAGAUUUUUUCUAGGCUGAACCUUGAAUCCUGAAACUCCCUGCUAAAGCUUUAAGGACAGAUAAUAAGGUAAGUUUUUUCACAGUGCCAAGCAGUUAAAAACAGGCCUCAUCACAUGCUCCAAUGCAUUUUCUACAAAGGUUUGUCUCAGUUCAGAGGCAAGUCUGCCACUCAGUUCUUGGAAGACAAGAACUACUUUUCUCUAUCAUGGCAAAUUAAUCACUAGUCUUCAGGUACCUUUUCCUCUUGUUGAAGUGGAAGUUCUUACCUCUUCCUUUGCUGUUCUAUAUCUGGCAGAGCCAGGUGUGGUACACUGAGUGACAGCGUUGUCUUAUACCCAUAUGUGUCAGUGUCUCUCUAUGAUUCAACCACAAACAUAAAGAAAAAUAACUUUAGGCUAAUUUUCAUGAUAAAUCAACCAAGAGUGCCAGAUGUCUUAAUAAAAACUUGAAUGAAGCUGCUACUGUUUCCUCU